AAUGACGUUCCUCUUCUGAGCCUGACUGUGAGAGAGUUCAUUCCUUCACAUUCCUGUAUAUAAAUCAGUGCAAACUUGGAUCACACUCUGCACAGGGAUCCACCAUUGCAGAGCCUUGUGCUGGAGGUAGCACUGCUGAUCUGCUGGUCAUGUGAAUUGACCUUGAGAUGCAGCACCAGAAUGAGUGACCUUGAGAUGCAGCCAAAUCAGAAAAAAGAGAAAAUCACAAUGUGACUGUAUCAGAUGAAGAUGUCCCAGUCUGCAUUAAUCCUGCUCUAGUUACCUGGAAACUGUCUAUCCAGUUGUAUGUGAAAACCUGGAGCACGUGUCACUGAGCCAAAUUCCAUCAUCUGCCAGUCACUAUUAAACAUUGGCCCACGUCACAAGAAUCACCAUUUGCUGUCACAGUAAUAAGGGCAGCUGAAGACUCACUGAGAAUCACCAUUCUGUGCCCUUCAAGGAAGUCUCCUCCUAGGACUGGUAUACCAGGMACAGCUGUGCCCAUUCUAGAAGCAAAGCUUAAAGUCCUCCUCCUCUAAUCAACAGUGUGUGUAGGAGUAGACCAAGGCUUCUGCUAAGAGCUGAAAAU
rnacentral:lncRNA from 1 species